rnacentral:lncRNA from 1 species
CUAUUACAGCUUCAUUAUACAUUCGUUCUAAUGUAUAAGUACAUAUUAUACAUUAUCUAUACAUCUUUCAACAAACAAGUAACAACGUCCAAACAACAAUUCCUUCAAAACACCUAUACAAAGAAAAACAUAUAUUAAACCUUCAACAAAUUAAGAUAAUAUUUUGGUUCAUACCUUUGUUUGUUGGAUCGUUUAGCAAAGGUGUUGAAGUCAUUCGAUAUCACAUAUUUUGACAUUACCGAAUAAAUAUUGAAAAAUUCACUCCACCACUCCGACCCCCUUUCCCGUGUGCCCCUCUCUUUACCCUUCAAAAUUUUUCCUUUUUUUCCCAUAGAAAUAAACACACACAUACACACACACUCAAUAAUACACAACACUCACACACAGGGAUAUACACACAGUAUCUAUACACUCAGAAAGAUAGAGAAAAAUAGAGAGAAACAGAGGAAAGGCGAGAGAAAAUAGUGGAAAAGUGAGUGAAAAACAUUGAAGGAAAUAGAUAGUGAACGAAAAAGGUAAACUCGGCUCCGGCUGAGUUUUUUGGGUGAAGUUUUAAUCGAAAUUGCCUUCACAUCACGUAAUUCGACCACUUCCUUCCAAUACCCAAUCAAAUUCAGCGACUAACACUCAAAAACCAUCAAAAAAAUCCACUACAAGCCCCGAAAUCGCUCCCUUUUGUGUCUUUUUGGUGAUUAACUCAUUGAAAAACGGUUAAGGUUUCAACAAUAUGGGGAUGUUCAUAUAUUUUUCUCCAAAAUUAGAAGAAAGAAGACGACUGACUUUUUUUUCAAGAACGUAUUUCAACACUGAAGACAAUUAAAAGUGAUGUUUAAGAAUUUUUUUGAAUUUAAAUUUCAGUUACUAUAUUUAAUCAUACACUAUAUAAUUAUAGGUAAUUAAUGGCGUUAUUUAAGGUAUUGAAAGAUAUUUUCUGAUUACUCUUUCCAUAAAUAUAGGCAAAAUAAUUUUAUCAUACAUCCCAACAAUGUAAAACAAACACCCGAAUGUAUAAAUAUAUUUUGCAAAAUAGGGAGAGAGAAAGUCUAAAGGGAUUAUCUGUAAAUACUUUCAAUAUACACAGGAUUUAUGUGCUUUAUACUUAUAUUAAUAAUCAAUCAAGAGUAAAUCUCAAAAAUAUACCCAAAUUGGGGUGGCUUUCAAAUUUUAACUCCAAAUAAAAAAGUUUUCUUAAAAUAGCCUUUACCUAGUAACUAAUAUUCUUUUGAACAAAGUUGCCUCUGAUCAAUGAGUAAAUUACAUAAAUGAUCCUCAUAAUUGAUAACAAUUCCAUAUUUAUAUUCUUCAACUUUUGUUUUUUUCUCUUUUUAAUUUUACUUUGAUUUUUAUUUUUUCUUUUCUCUUUUUAUUUUUAAUUUUCUCAACCUUUACUUUUUUCCUUUUUUCCUCUCAACUUUUUUUUUAUAUUAUUUUUAUUUUUUAUUUAUUCUUUCCUCUUUUUUUGUUUUUUUUUUGUUUUUAGUUUUUAUCAACCCUUACUUUUUUCUUUACACCUUUGAAUGUCUACUUUUAUUAAAAAAAAAGACUUUUUUUUAUUUUUCUUUGAUUUUUUUCUUUUCAAAUUUUUCUCGACCUUUAUUUUUAUUUAAGUUUUUAAAUUUUUAUCAACGUUUAUUUUUUUUCUAUUCGCUCUCAACUUCUACAUUUUCUUUGAUUUUUAUUUUUUUAAUAUUUUUCUUCUUUUUUCGCAAUUUUUAUUAUUUUUGUUCUUUUCUUCGAUUUCUUCCAUUCAAGUUACAUCUCAUGAGCAAGAGUUGACACUAUCACAUUAUAAAGGCAAGACUUACGACUUUCGAACAAUAAGCUAUGUUUCAUGGGCAAGAGUUGACACUACUACAUUGUAGAGGCAAGACUUAUGACUUUCAAACAACAAGUUAUGUUUCAUGGGCAAGAGUCGACACUACCACAUUGUAUUGUGAUUUAUGAGAUGUUUUAUAACUCUUACCUUAGAGGAAAAACUUAGUUCAGGGACUUUCAAAUAACAAAUUAUACCCCACGGACAAGAGCUGACUCUACCACGUUAUGUUUUCAUUUAUGAGAUGUUCUACAACUAUUGCUUUAUAGGUAACACUUAUCUCAAGGACUUUCAAACAACAAAUUAUGCAUCACGGGCAAGAAUUGACUCUACCACGUUGUAUUUUCAUUUAUGAGAUGUUUUACAACUAUUGCCUUAGAGGCAAGACUUAGCUCAAGGACUUUCAAACAACAAAUUAAACCCCACGGCAAGAGUUGACUCUACCACAUUAUGUUUUCAUUUAUGAGAUAUUCUAUAACUCUUGCCUCAGAGGCAAGACUUGACUCAAAUACUUACAAACUAUAAAUUAUGCCCCACGGGUAAGAGUUAACUCUACCACGUUAUAUUUUUAUUUAUGAGAUGAUCUACAACUAUUGUCUCAGAGGUAAGACUUGGCUCGUCGACUUUCAAACUACAAUUAUGCCCCACGGGUAAGAGUUAACUCUACCACGUUAUGUUUUCAUUUAUGAGAUGUUCUACAACUAUUGCAUUAGAGGCAAGACUUAAUUAGCUUAAGGACUUUCAAACUAUAAAUUAUGCCUCAUGGCCAAGAGUUGACUACACCACGUUAUGUUUUCAUUUAUGAGAUGUUCUACAAUUAUUGCCUAGAGGCAAGACUUAGCUCAAGGACUUUCUAACUAUAAAUUAUGCCCCACGGGCAAGAGUUGACACCCAAUUUUUUUUCGCCGUGCUUAAAAUUAACGUCUUCCGGCUUCCUGAUCGUUAAAAGGCACAAAUUACAAUUUUCACAUUUUUUUUAUAUUCGUUGAUAAAUUACUGAUAAUUAUCCUUACUUUAGGAUUGUUAUCAAUUUGUUGUCGUACUUUCACAAUCAUCUGCACACAUGCACGACAUGACAUCAUAUUUUUAUAAUAUAUAUUUUUUAAUUAAUUAUAUUUUUAAUUUUUUAUAUGUUUUUAUAAUUACAAAUUAAUACCUGCAUUUUAUAUAUUUUUUACAGUCUACAAAUGCUAAAUUGGAUAAAUUAUUUUUAUACAGUCUAAUAAUUUGAUGUCUUAUCACAUCCGACAAUAACUACAUAAUAAUAUCUUGUCACAUCCAACAAUGACUACACAUAAUGUCUUGUCACAUCUGACAAUGACAACUCAAUGACAAUACUCUUUGGAUAAUAACUUUAUCCGUUGGUCAAAAGGAUGAAAAUCCUUUGGUCAAUAUCCUAAGGACCAAAGAAUGUGCUAUUAGUAAAAAGUAGGGCCACCCCUUUAUUUAUUGGAUAAUAAGCGGUGUUAAUUUUUAAUAUAAAUAAAUGGAGGGGGUAAAUGUCCAAUAUACACACUAACACCAUAUAUUAGAUCUCGAUUCUUUUUUCAAAAUACACACACAUGCAUGCUUCUUCACUGCCAUCACUGCCGGAGCUUCGGCAAAUGGACUCCGGCCACCAUGGCUACUGCCGCCGUUCCACCACCUUUUCUUCCUCCUCCGUCAAGACUUCUCCUCUCCCUCUGGUCUCUCUUCUGCAUGUUCACCGGAGGCUGUGAUCGGCGACAACCUCUCUCCGUUCCUCUACAGCACCGCUGCAAACCAGCACUAUACCUCACUUCUCCCUCUUGAUCUCACGUGCCACUACUCACUUCAACCACAAACCACCAGCCACAUCAACCUCCCCAUUUUCCCUCAAUUUGCGUUGUUGUUUCUCCUCUGGAAGAGCUCCGCCAGACCUUGCUUCAUUCAUAGAUUUGCUGCGAACUUGGUACAAAAGACUCGCUGCUCCGGCGUUUCAUCGCCGUAGAAUUAGCGGUGUUGAUUGGUGCCUUUGUUUAUUUUUUAUACUUGAUAAUAUUCUUAUUAUGCUUGUUCUUGUCUGAUUUGUUUAGAUCUGACCGGAGUUGGCCAUGGGUUUCCUUAAAUAAUUUAUUUUGCUGUUGGUUGCUUACUUUUGUUGUUACUGCUAUUUUGCUCCAUUUUGAUUAUUUUGCCACUGAGUUUGUUGCUGUUUUGCAUCAGACAUUGAUUUUGGAUAAUUUUUGUCAUUUACAUUUUAUUUGACUGAUAAAGAACAGGAUACUACAUGAUUACGACCAAUGAAAUUAUCUCCCCGUCAGAUAUUUGAGGCCACCCCAUUAUAAAGACGAACUUUGUUUUUCUCAAGUUUAUUUAUUCAUAUCAAGUAUCAAUACAAUGGCCGAUGAAGAAAUUCACCGUCUAUUUUUUAGGCUUUCACAAAUAAAAGGACGAACAUUACGUAUACAAAUACGUAAUAAAAACAAACAACGGGCGAUGAUGAAAUCUUAAAAAUAUCAUGAUAAAGCGAAGGGUUUUAUGAUGCACAUCUUGACAAGACGGUUUAGGAUGGCCGAUAAAUCGAGAAACCACUUCGUAGUCAUUGCGCGUCUAAAAUUUAAUCUGAGCCCACUUUAUAAUAAAAUUCUAUUUUUACAUAUACUAGCACAUGAUUCCAUUUAUUUAAUGACUAUUUAUUUAUUUUUAAUACUUUCAUUAAACAUUUAUACAUGUUUUUGGUAACACAUUCCGAGGUGCUAUUUGAAGAGGGAGUCCUGACAUUUAUGUUCAUUUUUAUUUCUCAUCUGUAUAAUUGUACAUAAAGACAAAAAAAAAUAUAGUGAAAACUUUAAUUUUUGUGGUGCCGGGCGAGGAUAUUUUUUAUUUACAUAAUUCUCAUCGCUUUUAGGCAAAACUUAGGUCGUUAAUACUUGCACAAAAGCGUUGAGUUAAUCAAGUAAUUCAGAUAUUAUGUAGUCUUUUCUUCUCAAAUAAACCUUUACUUUUCUCCGUAAUUUUAAUCAAAUAAAAAAUAUUACUUGUAAAUAUUUUUCUUUUCAUGGCACAUCAAAAUACAUUUCUUUUCAUACAUCUCAAUAUACUUUCUUUUCACAUAUAAUUUAUUUAUUUUUACACAUAUCUUUUUUACAUAUUUCUAUAACAAUAAAUUUUAUUUGUAUAUUUAAUAUACAUAUACUUUUACAUAGUUUUACAUUUACAUUUUUCAAAAGAAUGAUUUUAUACUUAAUACAUAUAACCUUUUACAUUAUUUAAAUAUUAUACCUCCUCCCUCAUUGAUAAGUUUAGUCUAGCCCGAUACCACAUUCGUGGAUCCUGAAGGGUGCCUAACCCCUUCUCUUCGGGGUAAUUUGAAUCCUUAUCUAGAGUCUCAAUAGGUUUUCGCAGAAUAAAAUAUUAAUCAUACGUAUUAACAAAUAAAUAGGUUUCCUUAUUUUCCAUUAAAAAUUAGGCGGCGACUCUAUACAAAAUUCCAAUUCUUUAGAGUCAAUAAGUCACGUUUUGUUUAACCUUGGCAAAAACAGGACGCGACAGAAUGGCGACUCCGCUGGGGAUUAAUAGCAGGUUCUAACUAUAAUAGACUCAAUUUUUCAAUCGAGAGAGGUAUUUUUACUUUUUUGCAUAUGAUUAAAUUCCUUGAUUAUUUACUUGUUUUACACUGCAAAUUAUGUUUAUUUGGUCAUAAAUUCGUCACAUUUUUUUGCAUAAAUUAGUAUUGCUAUUUAUCAAUUCUUUUAUUCAUACUUGUCUAAUACACUUUAUCUGUACAUUGUAAAAACUGUGAUACCUUAUUCAAUAAUAAUCACAAUUUCAUCGAGUUUUUGGCCGUACACAAUUCACACACUGAACACGCGAGGGCUGUGCUGCACUCCUCCGAACUUUCUUUGAAUUUUUUAGUUUCAGAAUUGGUGCAUUUAGGUUAGUGAGCCUUUUCGCAAUUAUUUAGUUCUACUCUCAACCAUCUAGGAAACUUCCUGUUCUAGAAAUAGAUCACACCAUGUACAAACUCAUAAAAAGGUUUGAACUACGUUUUUGACCUGAUUCUUGUCCUGACAAGAUACGUAGGCAGCCCUGUAUGAUGGCUCGGUCUCUUCAUUGUUUCAAAAUAAUUCCUUCGGUAUUCAUACUGGGAAACUCUUCUGAAACAGUUCAAAGACUCUUUCCAAAAGUCUUCAAGAGUGCAAAUAAAUGAUUCCUCAAAUUCAAAUCUUAAUCACAUUAGUGCGUAGUCGGCCUACCUUUUUAUCCUAUUUCAAAAAUACAAAAAAAAUUACUUUAUUCUUCAUUUAGAGUAGGUGUCAUAUACAUUUUUAAAAGAAAACUACAAAAAAAAUAAUUCUUUACUAGUUUCAAGUGUCAUUUUCGUAUGAAAUUUAAAAUCGAAAACCAACAAAAAAUUUCUUUGAUAAUCAUAAGUUUCAUUUUGUAUAAGGAUGUUAAAUCUAAAAGUUCAAAAAGAUUUUUCAUUAAUUUGUUAUUUUCUUUUCUUCUUAAAAUUUAAAAAAAAAAAAAAAAGAAAGAGAGUUUGAUUAGCCAUGUUGUGCCAAAACUCCUGAACUACGCAGACCUAAUUCUUGUUUUCAGAAGAUACGUAGGCAAUCCUCAUUUGGGUUUGGUCCUAUUUUUUUUCCUAAAUAAAUAAAAAAUUCAAAUUUUGACUUGAUUGCUACCAACAUAGUUAGAAAUGUGCAUCAGAAAGAAUAAAUUGGUAUAAUGGAGAGGACUGACUAUAUAGUAAACUAUAGAUUCUUUUGGUACCUCUUAGUCAAACCUAAGUGACACUCGAGAAUUUUCUUGCAUACAUCUAAGAUAGGAACGAAGCUACCCUCAUCGUUUCAAGUGCAUUGUGUGAUGAGCUUUAGACUAGUUCAUUGCACUGUAUUGUUGAACCAAAACUUUGCCUAAAUGUCUGUUAAGGCCAAAUUCUGAGUUCACUUAGUUUGGGAAAGGAUUGUAGGCCUUCCUUGACUAGAUUGUGCCUUCCACAGCCUACCAAAUGACAUCAAUCCCUAGUAUUUCCUCCUUUAAGCCUGAAACUUUUUCUUUGGAAUAACCACAUCUGAGCCUAUACCUUUUGAGUGCUUACAUGCACUAUCCCUCUUUGGCCCACCUCCUUGAGCGCACUAAGUACGUGCAAGUUUUGAAUGAAGAUUCAAGAUCAAAGUUGUCAAAGGCAAAGGACGUAUAUCCCUAGAAGAACAAAAAGAAAAGACAGCUUCAAAGAAAGAAGAAGCAAGAACCCCCACAAAGAAAAAAAAAGGUAACUAUGAUAAAGGUGGGGAAUCAUCAUCCCCCAAAGAGAAAGAAAAAAGAAGGAAAAUAUAUCGAAAAGGGGAAAAACUCCAACACAAGAUUCAAAAUAAAUUGAAACAAAUACAAAACAAGGGGCAAAGAAGCACAAUAAAUAAGAUUGCGCAUCAAAGAGCAACAAAUGUCAAAAGCACGGAUACAGUGCAAUGCUCAUUGAGGAAUUAGUCACUUUUAUCCCAAAUGUCAUCCUACCCAACCCCAAGCCUACAUUACAAGCCAAUAACAAGUCCUACAAGAUCCUACUCUAAGUUUUCUCACAUUAGUGGAUACUUACAUGAAGGCCAAGCCUAUGAUAUCACAAUUACAUUCAUUGAAUUUAUUUCUGAGUGUGAGCGUAUAUCUCUAGACAUAUCCAAAUUCAAGAAAAAAAUAAUCUCAAAUAGGUGUGAGAACGAGACAUUCUUUCUAGAGAGGGCACUUGAAACAUGGGAACAGGCACAGUUCAAAAUCUUUUUUUGAAGCAAGACGAACAAAUCUUGACGAUACUUAGGUAUGUCUGAGGUACCACUCGAAGCUAUAGGAGUUACCCUGAAGUCGAUCUCGAUUAGAUGGAAAAGAGAUAGCGGGAUUCUUGUAUACACUACUAAUUGUUGGUACCAACUGUAGUCAAGACACAAUUAUAUCUUUUCAUUGUUCAACAUUUCUUACAAAGAAAAUACAAAACAAUCUUCUACAUUUUCAUUGUUCAAUAUUUCUUACAAAGAAAACACAAUGUUUUGUAUUUUUACCUUUCAGCAUUUCUUGCAAAUAAAACACAAAGAAAUUUUUUGCAUUUUUCAUCUUUCAACACAUUUUUACAAUGAAAACACAAAAAAAUAGUUUUAUUUCCUUUCAAACAUAUGCCUUCACAUACAUGCAUUACACUUUACAUGCAAGAUGGUCACCUCCAAAUACAGGCAAUUGAUUCUUCUUUUCGAGUUCUCACAUUCAAACAUAGUUAUUAUGCUUUUCUAUCAGGUGUUCUUAGAGCUCUUAAAUUUUCAUAGCCCAGCCAGUCGAGAGGCUGCUACCUUUUCAUAGCCCCGCCAUUUGAGAGGCUAUUACCUUUCAAAGCCCCGCCAAUCAAGAGACUUUUACAUUUUUAUAGCCCCGCCGGUCGAGAGGCUAUUACCUUUCAAAGCCCCAUCAAUCAAGAGACUUUUACAUUUUUAUAACCCCGCCAGUCGAGAGGCUUUUACAUUUUUAUAGCCCCACCAAUCGAGAGGCUAUUACCUUUCAAAGCCCCACCAGUCGAGAGGCUUUUACAUUUCCAUAGUCCCGGCUUUCGAGAGGCUAUUACCUUUCAAAGCCUCAAUAGUCGAGAGGCUUUUACAUUUCCAUAGCCCUGUCAGUCGAGUGGUUGUUACCUUUUGAAUCCCCACCAGUCGAGAGGUUUUUACAUUAUCAUAGCCCCAUCAGUCGAGUGGCUAUCACCUUUCAACAUCUCCGCCAGUCAAGAGGCUUUUUACAUUCUCAUAGCCCCGCCAGUCGAGAGGAUAUUACUUUUCAAAUCGCUCCGCCAGUUGAGAGCUCUUUUAUUUUCAUAGCCCCGCCAGUUAAGAGACUAUUACCUUCUAGUUUUUCCACCAAUCGAGAGUCAAUUAGCUCAUCGGUUGAUGACCUUAGUCUCCAUAGACAAUUGAGGACGACCAUCACAUAGUCUUCGUAGACAAUUGGAGACCACAAUCAACAUCACUCUACAUAGACAAUUGGAGAUGUCAUCAAGUCUUCGUAUACAAUCGAAGACAUCGUCAAUCACAUCAGUCUCUGUAGAUAAUUUGAGAUGACAAUCUACACCAGCCUCCAUAGAUAAUUAGAAAUAUCAUCAAGUCUUCGUAGACAAUUGAAGACACCAUCAUCCAACAUCAGUUUUCGUAGACAAUCGAAGACGUAAAUCAACAUCCAUCUCCAUAGGUAAUUGGAGGCACCAUGCAUCAAGUCUUUGUAGAUAAUUGAAGACAUCAUCAUUCAUCACAGUCUCCGUAAAUAAUUGUAGACGACAAUCAACAUCCAUCUCCAUAGACAAUUGGAGACGUCAUGCAUCAAGUCUUCGUAGACAAUCGAAGACAUCAUUAUCACAGUCUCUGUAAAUAAUCGAAGACAACAAUCAAAACCAGCCUCCAUAGACAAUUGGAGGUGUCAUACAUCAAGUCUUCGUAUACAAUCGAAGACAUCAUCAUUCAACAUCGGUCUUCAUAGAUAAUUGGAGAUGUCAUGCAUUAAGUCUUUGUAGAUAAUUGAAGACAUCUUUCAUCCAUCAAUAUCAGUCUUCGCAGACAAUCGAAGACACUUGUCAUUCAUCCUCAAGUCCCCAUGGACAAUCAGAGACAUCAUACAUCUUUUCAACAAAAGGUACAAUUCAGAACAACAACACUUUUUUUCAAAUCCCAUAUAUCAGACACUGGGGCAAAUUUCGAGAACCAUCUCAAAAUUUCCCCAUUUCCUUAUUUUGAACUACAUUGACCUGAUUCUCAUGAUACUUAAGAUAUGUAGGAGGCUCUAUGCAGAGUUUGGUCAUCACAACCUCACAAUUAUUCUUUCUCCCCAGCAAGUACACAAUCUUGCAUCCCCAGAAUCUCAUAGCUCGAUGCUGGGGCAAUUUUGAAAAGAACAUCGAAAAUAGAUGAACACUUCUGUUCCUAAAUAGUCCAUAUUUUAUUAAUUACUUCACACGGUCUCUCACUCUUAAUAGCAUGGCAAUUUUCCCAAUAUUUGAACUACACCCGACUUGAUUCUUAUGUAACUCGAGGUAUAUAGGCAAUUCUAAAUUAGAAUUCGGUCGAAUCCUCAUUAAAAGAUAAUUUUUUAUCGAGCAAAAUUGGCUGCACGUCAAUGUUUUCAUUUGAAAACUUAUACUGUCACACCCAUUUUUUAACACCAAAAAGAAAGAUUGAUUUAAAGUUAGAAAGGGUUUUUAUUUAAAGUGACAAAAUGAAGAUUUGUUCCGAAAAGGACUUUUUAUAUUCAAAACUCAGAGUCGCCACUUGGCAUAAUCUGGUGUGCCAAGUCACCUUUGGAAAAUCCUUUUCAGAACUGUUUUAACUCUUUAAAACUGGUUUGCAAACAAAGAUUCUGACUAAGGAAUUCUAUUGACCAAGGGGAAGGUGUUAGGCACCCCUCGAUCCCGUGGUUCAACCACGGUCGCUUGGUGGAGCGGAUCAGCUAAUUUAAUACUAUGAGUGUACAAACCACAUAAAACAAAUAAUAAACAAAUCAAACAAAAUGCAUCCAAAAAAAAAUAUAAAGUGCAGUCCAAUUAUACAAUCCAAAAAUAGAAAAAUGCGUAAAAAUAAAUCCUAUUCUAAACUAAUCCUAGACUAAUGCUCUACCCGACGCCUCGGGCCUUCAUCACGAACCUCCUCCUAGUACAAAAUACUUUAGGGCAUUUUUCGAUGAAUAAACACAAAUAUCUCGGGGCAUUCCCCAUCCAAAUGAUACUUUGAUCCAAAAAAAACUAUAAAAAUAAGCCAUUCAACACACAUUUUUCAACAUUCAACAUUUGAUGAGUUCUAAAUUUGCCUACCCGACCCUACUAUUUGCCUAUCUAUUUGAUGUCCUAAUCAUGAUACUACCGCAUUCGAGAAGGUUAAUAAACAUUUCAAAUCAACUCAAUCGAUGAAACAAAAUUAAUUCGAGUUCACUUAAUCAAGAUCAAUCCCUCCUUAAUUUAUUAUCGAUUACACAAUUACUCGAUUCUCAAUCAUAUAAUUAUUCACCUCAAAUAAUAAAUCGAUAUCAACAAACACUUAUGAUGAUUCAAACAGAUCAUUAUCAAACAAAACAAGGCUUACACCCAUCACCAAUUUCACACAUAAGGCAUCAAACGAUAAAGAUUAAUCAAGAACGAGAUAAGAAAUGGACCUCAAUUUUAUUCCGAACAAUUAGCGAUGGAUUGGAGCACACGAAUCAAUGAACCUCGACCAAAAUUUAACCUCGACGUCGAAACCCAAUUCAUAAAUCUCGACUCCGAAUUCUUUUUACCCAGACCCAUUUUCUCUCUGUAUUUUUAUGUAGGUCGUGAGAAGAGGAGCUGGACGAACUGCCAUGUGCUUGUUGGUUCACCAGCGAUUCGAGCUGAUUGGAGUGGUGUUUAACGUGAUUUAACUGGCGUAUUUUGCUGGUAGUGAUGGAUUUUUAGGGUUCCGUGAGGUUUUGGUCAUCGAAUUUCCUGCCAGUGGAGUUCUUUGAUAACUAUUAUUGCAUUGCCAGAGCUCCGACGAGCUUAACGGUGGUGACUAAUUUCCCCUUUCUCUAAUCUAUUCUCUCUGUCACGUUCUUUUUGCCUCUCCUCUCUUUGUUGUCAUCUUCUCCUUCUCUAAUCUAUUCUCUCUUUCGCGUCUCUACGUGUUAAUGUCACUGGUGAGUGUUAUCUGAGAGAUCUGUGUAUGCUUUAUGUGUGAAUAUGGUGAUGUGUGCUCUAUAUAUGAAUAUGGUGAUGAAAAGCCUAUGUGUUGGUAUAUCUUGUGAAGGGGAAUAUUGAUGAUGAUGAUGAGGAAUUGUUCCCUUUCUUUCUGUGUGUAUUUUCUAUGGUGGGAAUAUAAUGAUAAUAAUGAUGUGGGUCCCCUCAUGUGAAUGUUGUCUUGUAUAUUAAUGGAAAUGGUGAGGUCCUUUGUUUGUCUUUUUUGUUAAUUUGUUUACAAAGUGGAAUAAAAUAUGAAGGGUAGGGUAGUGAGGUGGUAUGGGGUAGUGAUGUGUUGUGAUGAAGUUUUAGGAUAAGGAAAUAUUAGGGAUUUAUUAAAAUUUUAUUAUUUUUGUAUUUUUGUGGGGCAUAAUCACACGGGUGGGGUGUAAGGUACCGUGAGGUUAAAAAAAUGGAUGAAUUAGGUUAUCGGGAGGGACAAAAUUACGUGUCUACAUCAUGCCUCUCUUUGCAUGUAAAUACAAAGUAUUUUCAUACAAAGAAGUAGACAAUGAGACAGAAUUUGACCCGACCAUUAUUCAAAGAAAGAAACAAAAGGAAGAAGGACAACCGAGUUGGAGAGUCGAGUGAGGUCCCGUCGAGGUUCCAGUCCGUGGCUCUAUCACUACAUCAAAAAUGAAAAUUAUAAGUUAAAACUUAAAAGAAAUUACAGAAAUCCUAUCUAUGCAGUUUCUUUGACUCUUGACUUGCUAUUUUAUCAUCCUGUUCUUCAGGCGGGCUCCUGACUUGCAAUUUCUUCAAUUUGUUGCUUGGUUUUCAAUUUCUUCCUCAUGUUGCUUGACUUUUCAGUUAUUCACCCUGUUCUUCAGGCAGACUCUUAACUUACAAUUUCAUCACCCUAUUCUUCAGGCAGGCUCCUGGCUUGCCGUUUCAUCACCCCGUUCUUCAGGCGGGCUCCUGACUAGCUAUUUCCAUAUGUUGUCUUUCAAUUUCUUCACUUUGUUUCUUGACUUUCAUUUUAUUCACCACGUUCAUCAGGAGGGCUCCUGAAAUCACAUCAAAACUAAAAAGAAAAUUAUCCCAAACAAAGAUUAUUAUAAAGAGAUUUCACUUGCCAGAAAAGUGAAGUUCCAAACACAAGAAUUAAAUUUUGCCCUAGUUUAUCAUCAAAGGACUUUUGUGAAAGUCGCAUCAUUAUAGUUAUCAAAGAUAAUGACUAGACUAAAAGGUACGCCUUAUAGAAAUCAAGGAGAAUGACUCGACUAAAAGGCACGCUUUAUAGGAAUCAAGGGAGAUGACUCGACUAAAGGGUACGUCUUAUAGGAAUCAAGGGGGAUGACUCAAAUAAAAGGCACGUCUUAUAGGAAUCAAGGGAGAUGACUCGAAUAAAGGGUACGUCUUAUAGGAAUCAAGGGGGAUGACUCGACUAAAAGGUACUUCUUAUAGGAAUCAAGGGGAAUGACUCGACUAAAAGGUACGUCUUAUAGGAAUCAAGGGGAAUGACUCAAUUAAAAGGUAUGUCUUAUAGGAAUCAAGGGGGAUGACUCGACUAAAAGGUACAUUUUAUAGGAAUCAAGGGGAAUGACUCGACUAAAAGGUACAUCUUAUAGGAAUCAAGGGAGAUGAUUCGACUAAAAAGUACGUAUUCGAGGGUUCAAGGGGAAUGACUCAACUAAAAGGUACAUCUUCUAAGGGUCGAGGGGAGAUGACUCGACUAAAAGGUACGUCUUCUAGGGGUCAAGGGGAGAUGACUCGACUAAAAGGUACAUCUUAUAGGAAUCAAGGGGAUGACUCGACUAAAAGGUACGUCUUAUAGGGGUCAAGAGGAAUGACUCGACUAAAAGGUACGUCUUCUAGGAAUCAAGGGGGAUGACUUGACUAAAAGGUACAUCUUCUAGGAAUCAAAGGGAAUGACUCGACUAAAAGGUACGUCUUAUAGGAAUCAAGGGGGAUGACUCGACUAAAAGGUACGUCUUCUAAGAGUCAAAGGAAAUGACUGGACUAGAAGGUACGUCUUCUAGGAGUGAAGGUUCAAUUUAAGAAGUGUAUCACCCAGCAAAUUAAAACUAAAAUCCCUGGACAAGAAAGUGUGUUUCCGAGGGAUAUAAGAUGAUGAAUUUUUACCAUGAUUUAAUUAUCAAACCUGUGCAGCAACAUUGCUUCCUACAUUUGUCAAAGCAAGAAAUUAGGGGCCUUGAUGUUUUGGCUUUGAAAUCCUUGAUUUGAAGGUGACAUGUGUUCCUGUUUUAUGCAAAGAAAAGUUGUGAGUUUAAAAACAUGAAGGCAGGUUUGUGGCUUUGGCUUUCAUGGCAAACGCUCUUGCCGUCAUCACAUUUAACCUUGCUUCCAACCAUUACAUAUAUCAUUGAUUUGAUGCAUCAUUGACCCAAACUCAGAUUAUUAAGAGUGACUUUGAAACAAACGCAGUAUCUUUGCUUUUCCAUGCUCUUCAGAUAAACCCUUUGAACUUUGGUAUUUCCAUGAGUGCCCAGACUUUUCUGUUGACAGAACUUUCUGUAUGCCUUAUUUCGGCUCACAAUCAUGUCUUUUGUAUAUGCUAGUUCUUUUGUCUUGCUUUGUGCAAUUAAAGAAGCUGGUAGCCAUUUUUGAAAUCUUUUCUCACUUGUUUUGACAUGGACUUGACUCAAAGACAAGAAACUAAAAAAAAGAAUGACAAUUUUUGUUUGGAUAACUGACUCAAUGACAAUUUUUAUUUGGAUAACUGACUCAAGAAAGAUAAAAUAAAAAUAAAAAGAAGAAAGAAAAGACAACGAAUGUCCCCUUUUGAAAUAAAGAAACAAAAAAUUCAUCUAAAAAUGACAGUCAACACUAAUGAUUAUGCCAUGCAUUUCGGAUUAAGCAGCUUGAUCUUUUCAUCCAAACUUUCUACCCAUUGUUGUUGAGCUAAUGGCCUUGAAACUGAGUUUCUUCCUUAGGUAAAUUGUAUUUAAGACCCCAUUCAGCUAGUGGCGCCUUGAAGGGUUUUUGCCAACAAGCUUCUCUCAUUUUCUUUUCCUCAGUUCACCAUUGCCUUAUGGUGUCUGUAAGGGUUUUCCACUAAUGAGACUCUCUUAUCUUCAUUUCCCUUAACUCACAGUUGUCUUACGGUGCCCGUGGGAGUUUUCACCGAUAAAACUCUCUCAUUUUUAUCUCUCUCAACUUAUCAUUAUCUUACGAUACCCGUGAGAGUUUUUACCAAUAAGACUCUCUCAUUUUUAUUUCUCUCCUGAUUUCUUAUGCUGAGGAAGACAAGUAGUUCCCAAAUACAUCACCAUAUCCCUUGCAUGCUUAGCCUUAACAUCUUCAAAGAUUGAUUUGAGGUCUUUCUUUGGUUGUAACUUGGCUUUUGGAUAGGGUUAGAAAGAAAGGAUGGCAUGGGGCCCAAAUAACACUUAAAGUAGGGUAGGACUUACAACUUUUGGAAUCAACUCAAACAAUGAGGAUUAACUAAUGCCCCAGUUUUUUUUUACUGCACAAUUCUAAAUUAUUUAUUUGGUUGGACCAAGCCCGGAGUAGGGCAGCCUAUGUAUCUCACCCCCGAAAGAGGAGAAUCAGGUCACACGUAGUUUCGGUGGCUUGUUCUUUUGCUUGAUUCUGAUUUUUUUUCUUUUAUUGCCUCUUUUAUUGACUUUUUUUUUCUUUUUGGGACCUUCUAACUCUAUUUUUUUAUGGACGCUCUUUUCUUUUCCUUCUUUUGGACACAUUUUUUCUCUCGUUUCUUUUUGAAACUUUCUGACUCUAUUGUUUUGCUCGAUAGUUUUUUUUUUUUUUGAGGUUUGUUGAAUCUAUCUUGAUUCUAAAAGAGGGGCAUGAAGGAAAAUAGGACUAAAUCUCAAAUGGGGUAAACAAAGGAUGACACAAUGUUUGGAUAGCAGAAUGAAAUGCCUUCGUCAUAUCAAUCCUUGAAAAUGCAAGUACAUAUUAUGCAAUAUAAAAGUGAGAGAUGAAGAUCAUUUGUGAUAUUUUUACAACGCUAAUUUUAACUGAGACUGUGCGUCGCUACUUGUUCUGCAAACUCCAUCUUUGUUGUACAUUUCUCAUGCUUUCGUGGAGCUAAUUUUUCUAUUCCUUUUUAUGUGGGAUCACCAUCCACUAUUUGACCUAAUUGAGACAUGUCUUUCAAUGCUGACCAAGUUAUUCUCACGAUUCUCAAAAUAAUUGCCUUAAUUUUUAAAGAAGGCUUCAACUUGAUCACCAAAUGCCCCAACACUUAUCUAUUUUCUCAGACGCUUUCUUUUUCUAACUUUAACCCUCUGAUUCAAUGCUCAUGCUUAAAGUGGAUUUUAAGAUCUGAUAGAAAAUUUCACUAGCAUGUCAUAUCACUAGAGUCAACAUAAAAUGUACAAUGUAAAGAAAACAAACAAACAACACAUAUUUAAAACACAAAGGAAAAUAGGACACUUCAUUUAGUUGAAACAAAAGAUAGAAGAGUUUGAACAUAAACGACAAAAGGACAAAAUAAGAUAGAUCUCGAACUACAACCCUGAAAUAAUUCGGAUAACAAAAAAUAAAACAAAACAAACUAUCAGACCUCUUCGUAGUAGGGAGAGGGAUGACUUCUCAAUUGCUUAACCUGACAUCUUAGCCACUGGUUUGCAUGUCAGCAUGACUAGAUUUUCCCUCACUAUCAAUGUUCUGCACCAUUAUUGAUCCAUCUUGAAUCAUAUUUUCAAUUUCUCUUUUCAAAUCUCGACAAUCUUCAAUACUAUGAGCCUGAGCAUCAGAAUAAUACGCACAUCGUACAUUAGGAUCAAAAUUUCUGGAACGCCGAUUAAGAGUACACCUAAGGAGAAGAGUGAUCAUAUCCCAUUGUACCAAUCUCUGAAAUAAACUGGCAUACGACUCUCCAAUUGGUGUGAAGCUAUCUUUUGACUUUUUCCUUAUUUCAUCAUUUGGAUUGGAUCAAAAAUCAGGCUUAGAAGAGUUUUGGUAUAUUUGUGGAGUUAGAGGAAGACUCUGAGGAGUUGGUGUAUUCCACUGUGGGUAACAUGGGGGUUAAACAUGUGGUUGUGCGUUAUAAACUGGAUACGGGGGUGGAGAAACAAAGUAUAAUAAAUUUUGGGAGUGAUUAUGUGGAGCUUGGGCAUGAACUUGGGUUUGAGCCUGAGAGUAAUGACAACGGGGUCUUCUUGACCGUGCCCGCUGUCCAACUAUAAUAGAAGAUGCAUCUUCCUCAUUCAGUGUCUCCCCAACACUUCCUGAACCCUUUUGAAUUACUUGAGUUACCACUUUGAAUGUUGCAAAACUCACAAUGCAACCAGUCUUAAUUCCCUCUUCUAUCAUCUCCCCCAUUUUAAGGGCCUCAAUAAAUGACUUACCUAAUGCAGGUAACAAGUGUUAAUAAUAUGUUUCAUCCUGUGCUUGAAUAAACACCUCCACUAUUUUUCUUUCUUUCAUUGGUGGUUUUACUCUAGCAGUUUGUUCGCACCAUCUGAUUGCAUACUCUCUGAAACUCUCAGUAUUCUUCUUUUUUAUAAUAGUUAGGUAUUUUUCGUCAGGGAUCAACUCGACAUUGUAUUGAAAUUGUUGCACAAAUCCAUUAGCUAGGCCAUCCCAACUAAUCCACUUGUCAAUGUCUUGGUCAACAAACCAUUCCAAAGCUAGGCCUGAAAGACUCUCCCCAAAAUAAGCCAUGAGUGGUUCUUCCUUUCCUCCAGCGCCCCUUAAUUGGUUACAAUAGCGCUUUAAAUAUGCCACUAGGUCUCCAUGUCCAUCGUAUUUCUUAAACUUUGGUAUUUUAAAGCCAGGAAGAAGGUUAACACCUGGAAACAUGCAUAAGUCCUUAUAUGAGAUACUUUUGUAACCCCUAAGUCUUUGCAAGUUCUUCAUAGUCAGUUCCAAACUUCUUAAUUUUUUGGUCAUUUCCUCUUGUUCUUCUGUCAUAACAGGCUUCUCAGUGUUAGGAGGAAAUUCAGGCAGGCGAGUAUCACCGUAAAGACCAGUCAACUUGAAUGUAGGCUCAGAAGUGUAACGCUGAUCACCUGUAAUAUUUAAUGCAGGCUCUCUUGUAGAGUAGUGAGCCACAACUUAUGGAAGAACAUCAAAAGUAGGAGCUUCAGGUGGAGGUUGCGCCGCAAAAAUAUGAACAACAGGUGGAGCCGAGCAUAUGGUAGUCUUGGAUUGGGGAGUGAGGAAAUGAACAUUGGAAAAGGUUGGAUAUUAUCGCCCCAGAGUCGAUCCUGAUGCAUAUUGUGGCAUAUCAACAAAAAUGGGAAAUUGUGCAUAUGACACGGGAGGAAAGCUAGAAAGAUAUUCCAAAUUAUCAGUGGGAACUGGAGGAGGUGACAACGUAUUAGCCCAAGCUCGAUGCAUUUCUAUCAUUUGCUGCCUUAAUUUCCAAAUCUCUUCAUUAGCUCCUAAAUUCUCAUUUCCCGAACUCCCUGUCUGAUUAGUGACAACAAACUCGGUAUCCUUGUUGGCCAUAAAUUUCUUUAUGACUUGGUGCAAUAUGGAGGCCCAUCCAAAAUGCCAUAAACCAACCACCUUAAACUAACUGGAUAAGAGAUAGUAAAUGCGUUAGAGUUCAACAUUUUUUCAAAACCUUUUUUUUUUCUUGAUAAGAUCACCGAACCCAAGAAGCACGCCUACGUAUCUCGCCCCCAAAAGGGGAGAAUCAAGUGUGCGUAGUUCGUGAAGUCUUGCCAAAAUGGCCAAUUAAAAUCUUUUUCUUUUUCUUUUUUCUUGAAACUUUAAGAAGAAAAGAAAAUAACAAAUUAUCAAAAGAAUUGACGAAAAUCAUUUUUGCAUUUUUCAGAUUUAAAUUUCCUAUACAAAAUGAAACCUAUGACAACCAAAGAAAAAUCAUUUUUUGAAUUUUCGAUUCUAAAUUUCAUAUGAAAAUGAAACUUGAAACUAUUAGAGGAAAAUCUUUUUGUGGUUUUCUUUUCGAAGAUGUAUAUGACACACCUACUCUAAAUGAAGAGUGAAAAAAAAAUCUUUUUAGGAUUUUUUUUUCAUAUUCCUAUACAAAAUAAAACCUAUGAUUACCAAAGAAAAUCUUUUUGAAUUUUCAAUUUCGAAUUUCAUAUGAAAAUGAAAAUUGAAACUAUUAAAGAAAAAUCUUUUUGCAGUUUUCUUUUAAAGAAAUAUAUGACACCUACUCUAAUAAAGAGUGAAGAAAAUCUUUUUUUUUUUUGAAUUUUUCAAAUAGGGUCCCCGAACCAACAAUAGGCUGCCUACGUAUCUCACUCCCGAGAGAGGAGAAUCAGGGGUGCGUAGUUCGUCCAGAUAGGACAAUUAAGAAUUAAAUGACAGAUUGACCCUAACUUAAGAGACACGACCAAAGACAGACAAAUAAAAUCUUUUUAGGGUUUUAAUCAGACACUUCACAUAAAACUUACAUCAACAACUAUGAAAGAAUUUUUUUUUUUUGAUAUUUUCAUUAUAUGAAAUGUACAAAACUUCUACCAUGUUUUUUUUUUUGAAUUUUCCUUUUAUAAAAAGCUCCUAAAAAAUGAUUUUUGGAAUUUUUAAAUUGUGACUGCAUGCUAAAGGAGAUAAAGGAAAAAUCUUUUUGAGGUUUUGUUUUUCAGUAAAUGCGUGAAAAAGUAAGAAAAUCAUUUUGAAUUUUUGGAUUGUGAAAAAAUAAAAGCCAUAAAGAACUCUAAUAAUUACGAAACUAUUUUUUUUCACUCCUUUCUUUUUUUUUUCUAUUUUUUUCAACAUUUCUUGCCUACGCACUUUACUUCUAACACAUGCUUUCCCCAAAUCAGUCCAUCAAAUGACCACGUUACCCUCAAAGAUACAACAUUUAGCACGUAGAGAUGCUUUAGAGAUGAGUCUCCUACAAAAGGCCACGUUGGUUUCGCUAGGUCUCAAUAUGAUGCAGAUAAGCAUGACCUAAAGGUUGACCUACGCUGGGGUCCACUAACAAGGCUGUUCGGGGGAGCGUAUGGUUGAUAGUGGAUUGCUUUAGCUGUCCACCUACUCCAUACAACCCAACGGAUCCCCCUCCUUAAAUAAAGGUGACUCAACUAUAGGUCGUGUACACACGUGUACUACGGACUUGUUGCAGAAAAAAAAAGACUCGAGUUAUGCAUAUGAUGCCAGAUAUAAAGCGGGUAACACAUAAAGUAAAAACUGUAAACAAAAAGUACGUAGGCACUCAACAAUGAUAAACAAUAACACAAAACAACACAAACAAAAUGUCUACACCUAUAUUACCAAACUAAGCCGAUACAACUCCAAAAUAAGCUCAAAUUCUGAAAAAUUCCCAGCAGAGUCGCCAGAGCUGUCACACCCACUUUUUAACACCAAAAAGAAAGAUUGAUUUAAAGUUUGAAAGGGUUUUUAUUUAAAGUGACAAAAUGAAGAUUUGUUCCGAAAAGGACUUUUUAUAUUCAAAUCUCAGAGUCGCCACUUGGCAUAAUCUAGUGUGUCAAGUCACCUUUGGAAAAUUCUUUUCAAAACUAUUUUGACUCUUUAAAACUGGUUUACGAACAGAGAUUCCGGCUAAGGAAUUCUAUUGACCGAAGGGAAGGUGUUAGGCACCCCUCGAUCCCGUGGUUCGACCACGGUCACUUGGUAGAGCGUAUCGGUUAAUUUAACACUAUGAGUGUACAAACCACAUAAAACAAACAAUAAACAAAUCAAACAAAAUGCAUCCAAAAAAAAUAAAUAAAGUCCAGUCCAAUUAUACAAUCCAAAAAUAGAAAAAUGCGUAAAAAUAAAUCCUAUUCUAAACUAAUCCUAGACUAAUGCUCUACCCGAUGCCUCGGGCCUUCAUCACGAAUGUCCUCCGGGUAUAAAAUACUUUGGGGCAUUUCCCAGCGAAUAAACAUAAAUAUUUCGGGGCAUUCCUCGGCCAAAUGAUACUUUGAUAUAAAAAAAACCAUAAAAACAAGCCAUUCAACACACAUUUUUCAACAUUCAACAUUUGAAGAGUUCUAAAUUUGCCUUACCGACCCUACUAUUUACCUAUCUAUUUGACGUCCUAAUCAUGAUACUACCACAUUCAAUAAGGUUAAUAAACAUUUCAAAUCAACUCAAUCAAUGAAACAAAAUUAAUCCGAGUUCACUUGAUCAAGAUCAAUCCCUCCCUAAUUUAUUAUCGAUUACGCAAUUACUCGAUUCUCAAUCAUACAAUUAUUCACCUCAAAUAAUCAAUCGAUAUCAAAAAACACUUAUGAUGAUUCAAAUAGGUCAUGGUCAAACAAAACAAGGCUCACACCUAUCACCAAUUUCAACACAUAAGGUAUCAAACGAUAAAGAUUAAUCAAGAACGGGAUAAGAAAUGGACCUUAAUUUUAUUUCGAACAAUUAGCGAUGGAUCAGAGCACAUGAACCAACGAACCUUGACAUCAAAACCCAAUUAGAAAAUCUCGACUCCAAAUUCUAUUUACCCAGACCCAUUUUCUCUCUGUAUUUUUAUGUGGGUCAUGAGAAGGGGAGCUGGACGAACUGCCAUGCAUUUGUUCGCCGGUGAUUUGAGCUGACUGGAGUGGUGGUUAACGGGAUUUUAUCGGCGAAUUUUGCCGAUGGUGAUGGAGUUUUGGGAUUCCGUGAGGCUUUGGUCGCCGGACUUGCUACCAGUGGAGUUCUCCAGUGACUGUUGUUGCAUCGCCGGAGCUUCGGCGAGCUUAACGGUGGUGACUAAUAUCCCCUUUCUCUAAUCUAUUCUCUUUCUCACAUCCUCUUUGCCUCUCCUCUCUUUGUUGUCAUCUUCUCCCUCUAUAAUCUAUUCUUUCUUUCGCGUCUCUGCAUAUUAAUGUCACUGGUGAGUGUUAUCUGAGAGAUCUGUGUGUGCUCUAUAUGUGAAUAUGGUGAUGGAAAGCCUAUGUGUUGGUAUAUCUUGUGAAGGGGAAUAUUGAUGAUGAUGAUGGAGAAUUGUUCCCUUUCUUUCUGUAUGUAUUUUCUAUGGUGAGAAUAUAAUAAUAAUAAUGAUGUGGGUCCCCCCAUGUGAAUGUUGUCUUGUAUAUCAAUGGAAAUGGUGAGGUCCUCAACAAAGUGGAAUAAAAUACGAGGAGUAUGGUAGUGAGGUGGUAUGGGGUAGUGAUGUGUUGUGAUAAAAUUUGUUAGG